rnacentral:RNase_P_RNA from 1 species
AUACUCAGGUAAUCGCUGUAUGUAAAAUACAGAGGAAAGUCCAUGCUCACACAAACUGAGAUGUUUGUAGUGUUCGUGCUUGACGAAAUCAUAAGUCAAGGUAGCUUACCAAGCUAACGGCAGGAAAUAUUUCUAAGUCUUUUGAUAUGAAAUAGAACCCUUGAAAGUGCCACAGUGACGUAGUCGGGAUGGAAACAUUUCGGGUGGAACGAGGUAAACCCCAUGAGUGAGCAACCCAAACAAUGGUAGGGGCAUCCUUUAGUAGGGAAUUCAACCGAACAAGGGACAAGUAUAUACUUGUAGAUAGAUGAUUACGACCAACGUACGAGGCUGACCACCGUUUUCAGUACUAUGGAACAGAACAUGGCUUAUCGAG